GGCCUAUAGAGUAAAAUUUUAGGUCUGACCUGCCCAAUGAUGGUUUAUUUAAUGGCCGCGGUAUAUUGACCGUGCAAAGGUAGCAUAAUCAUUAGUUUUUUAAUUGAAAGCUGGAAUGAAGGGUUUUAUGAGAAAAAUUCUGUCUCUUUAAAAAUUUUUUAGAAUUUUAUUUUUAAGUAAAAAAGCUUAAAUGUAAAUGGAAGACGAGAAGACCCUAUAGAGUUUAAUAUUUGAAGGAAUAGGAAGAAUAAGGAUGUAAAAUUUUUUUGUUUUUUCAAGUAUUUUGCUGGGGUGGUAGAAAAAUUAAUAAAACUUUUUUUAUUUGAUUAAUCAUUGAUUUAUGAGUAAAUGAUCCUGAAAAUUUAGAUUAGAAGAAUAAAUUACCUUAGGGAUAACAGCGUAAUUUUUUAUAGAGUUCAAAUCGAAUAAAAAGAUUGCGACCUCGAUGUUGGAUUAAAAUUAAUAGUCGGAGAAGAAGUUGACUAAUUGGGUCUGUUCGACCUUUAAAAUUUUACAUGAUCUGAGUUUAAACCGGUGUGAG
rnacentral:rRNA from 1 species